GAUGAACGCUGGCGGCGUGCCUAAUACAUGCAAGUCGAGCGAAUGGAUUAAGAGCUUGCUCUUAUGAAGUUAGCGGCGGACGGGUGAGUAACACGUGGGUAACCUGCCCGUAAGACUGGGAUAACUCCGGGAAACCGGGGCUAAUACCGGAUAACAUUUUGAACCGCAUGGUUCGAAAUUGAAAGGCGGCUUCGGCUGUCACUUAUGGAUGGACCCGCGUCGCAUUAGCUAGUUGGUGAGGUAACGGCUCACCAAGGCAACGAUGCGUAGCCGACCUGAGAGGGUGAUCGGCCACACUGGGACAGAGACACGGCCCAGACUCCUACGGGAGGCAGCAGUAGGGAAUCUACCGCAAUGGACGAAAGUCUGACGGAGCAACGCCGCGUGAGUGAUGAAGGCUUUCGGGUCGUAAAACUCUGUUGUUAGGGAAGAACAAGUGCUAGUUGAAUAAGCUGGCACCUUGACGGUACCUAACCAGAAAGCCACGGCUAACUACGUGCCAGCAGCCGCCGUAA
rnacentral:rRNA from 1 species